UCGGGAAACCGGAGCUAAUACCGGAUAAUAUAUUGAACCGCAUGGUUCAAUAGUGAAAGAUGGUUUUGCUGUCACUUAUAGAUGGAUCCGCGCCGCAUUAGCUAGUUGGUAAGGUAACGGCUUACCAAGGCAACGAUGCGUAGCCGACCUGAGAGGGUGAUCGGCCACACUGGAACUGAGACACGGUCCAG
rnacentral:rRNA from 1 species